rnacentral:rRNA from 1 species
UACGUAGGGUGCGAGCGUUGUCCGGAAUUAUUGGGCGUAAAGAGCUUGUAGGCGGUUUGUCGCGUCUGCUGUGAAAUCUCAAGGCUCAACCUUGAGCUUGCAGUGGGUACGGGCAGACUAGAGUGUGGUAGGGGAGACUGGAAUUCCUGGUGUAGCGGUGAAAUGCGCAGAUAUCAGGAGGAACACCGAUGGCGAAGGCAGGUCUCUGGGCCACUACUGACGCUGGAGGAGCGAAAGCGUGGGGAGCGAACAGG